AUAUUUACCUGGUAGGGGACAUACCAUGAUUACAAAGGUGGUCUUGUCAGACUAAGGUUUGUUCAUUGCACUCCAUGUAUGCUGACCUCUGCAGUUUCCUCAAAUGUGGCAAGCUCGACUCCAGAAUCUUUGUUUGUUUAAAAGAAAUGAAUGCCCAAAUUAGAG
rnacentral:snRNA from 10 species